AGCAUGUGGUUUAAUCGAAGCAACGCGAAGAACCUUACCAGGUCUUGACAUCCCUGACAACCCAAGAGAUUGGGCGUUCCCUCGGGGGACAGGUGACAGGUGGUGCAAUGGUGUCGUCAGCUCGUGUCGUGAGAUGUUGGGUUAAGUCCCGCAACGAGCGCAACCCUCGCCUCUAGUGCCAGCAUUCGGUUGGGCACUCUAGAGGGACUGCCGGCGACAAGUCGGAGGAAGGUGGGGAUGACGUCAAAUCAUCAUGCCCCUUAUGACCUGGGCUACACACGUGCUACAAUGGGCGGUACAAAGGGCUGCGAACCCGCGAGGGGGAGCGAAUCCCAAAAAGCCGCUCUCAGUUCGGAUUGCAGGCUGCAACUCGCCUACAUGAAGUCGGAAUCGCUAGUAAUCGCGGAUCAGCACGCCGCGGUGAAUACGUUCCCGGGCCUU
rnacentral:rRNA from 1 species